CGCGGGGUAGAGCAGCUUGGUAGCUUACAAGGCUCAUAACCUUGAGGUCACGGGUUCAAAUCCCGUCCCCGCAA
rnacentral:tRNA from 5 species